CAAGUCGAGGGGCAUCAGUUUGGUUUGCUUGCAAACCAAAGCUGGCGACCGGCGCACGGGUGAGUAACACGUAUCCAACCUGCCGACAACUCUGGGAUAGCCUUUCGAAAGAAAGAUUAAUACCGGAUGGCAUAGUCUUCCCACAUGGGAUGAUUAUUAAAGAAUUUCGGUUGUCGAUGGGGAUGCGUUCCAUUAGGCAGUUGGCGGGGUAACGGCCCACCAAACCAACGAUGGAUAGGGGUUCUGAGAGGAAGGUCCCCCACAUUGGAACUGAGACACGGUCCAAACUCC
rnacentral:rRNA from 1 species